ACUCAAAGGAAUAGACGGGGGCCCGCACAAGCAGUGGAGUAUGUGGUUUAAUUCGACGCAACGCGAAGAACCUUACCAGGGCUUGACAUCCCCUGACGAAGGCAGAGAUGCCUUCUUCCCUUCGGGGACAGGGAGACAGGUGGUGCAUGGUUGUCGUCAGCUCGUGUCGUGAGAUGUUGGGUUAAGUCCCGCAACGAGCGCAACCCCUAUUGCCAGUUGCCAGCAUGAAAGAUGGGCACUCUGGCGAGACUGCCGUUGACAAAACGGAGGAAGGUGGGGAUGACGUCAAAUCAUCAUGCCCCUUAUGUCCUGGGCUACACACGUACUACAAUGGCAACAACAGAGGGCAGCCAGACCGCGAGGUUGAGCGAAUCCCAAAAUGUUGUCUCAGUUCAGAUUGCAGGCUGCAACUCGCCUGCAUGAAGUCGGAAUUGCUAGUAAUGGCAGGUCAGCAUACUGCCGUGAAUACGUUCCCGGGCCUUGCACACACCGCCCGU
rnacentral:rRNA from 1 species